GCCAGACUCAGAGGCGCAGGCCUGUAGUCCCAGCUACUUAGGAGGCUGAGAAGGGAGGAUUGCUUGAGCCCAGGAGUUGUGCGCUGUAGUGCUCUAUGCAGAUCGAGUGUCCGCACUAAGUUCGCAUCAAUGUGGUGACCUCCUGGGAGCCGGGGACCACCAGGUUGCCUAAGGAUGGGUGAACCUGCCCAGGUCAGAAACAACGCAGGCCAAAACUCCCGUGCUGAUCAGUAGUGGGAUCAGGUCUAAUGCUUAAUUCCAUUAAGCAUGCUUAGACUGUUAAUAUCCU
rnacentral:SRP_RNA from 1 species